rnacentral:rRNA from 1 species
GACGAACGCUGGCGGCGUGCCUAAUACAUGCAAGUUGAGCGAUGAAGAUUGGUGCUUGCACCAAUUUGAAGAGCAGCGAACGGGUGAGUAACGCGUGGGGAAUCUGCCUUUGAGCGGGGGACAUCAUUUGGAAACGAAUGCUAAUACCGCAUAACAACUUUAAACAUAAGUUUUAAGUUUGAAAGAUGCAAUUGCAUCACUCAAAGAUGAUCCCGCGUUGUAUUAGCUAGUUGGUGAGGUAAAGGCUCACCAAGGCGAUGAUACAUAGCCGACCUGAGAGGGUGAUCGGCCACAUUGGGACUGAGACACGGCCCAAACUCCUACGGGAGGCAGCAGUAGGGAAUCUUCGGCAAUGGACGAAAGUCUGACCGAGCAACGCCGCGUGAGUGAAGAAGGUUUUCGGAUCGUAAAACUCUGUUGGUAGAGAAGAACGUUGGUGAGAGUGGAAAGCUCAUCAAGUGACGGUAACUACCCAGAAAGGGACGGCUAACUACGUG